UCCGAAUUGGUGUAGUGGCUAACAUUUGACGCUCUCAUGAUUAAACUAUCAUAGGAACCGUCAAGCCCGGGGUUCGAUUCCCCGAUUCGGAG